UGGAUAGCUCAGCGGGUAGAGCACUAGACUUGUAAUCUAGGUGUCGAGGGUUCGACUCCCUCUCCA
rfam:Sphingopyxis macrogoltabida strain EY-1, complete genome.